UACGUAGGGUGCAAGCGUUGUCCGGAAUUAUUGGGCGUAAAGAGCUCGUAGGCGGUUUGUUGCGUCGGCUGUGAAAUCCCGAGGCUCAACCUCGGGUCUGCAGUCGAUACGAGCAAACUAGAGUGUUGCAGGGGAGACUGGAAUUCCUGGUGUAGCGGUGAAAUGCGCAGAUAUCAGGAAGAACACCAAUGGCGAAGGCAGCUCUCUGGGACGGUACUGACGCUGAGGCGCGAAAGCGUGGGGAGCAAACAGG
rnacentral:rRNA from 1 species